AAUACCCAGAAAACAGAGAAAUUGAGCUUGAAGCUGAUACAAGCCAUGUCUUCUUCAACUUUCAAUCCCAAAAAGAUAUAUAUAAAUUUUCUCUUCUAAUAAUCCAAAAUCUCUUCCCUUUCCCUUUCUCUUUCUCCAAUUUUUGCGAAUCUCAUCUGGGUUCUUAUUGUUUUGAACUGGGUAUCAGUCUAUUGAUGCUUAGUUCUACUCCAACUUCUAAUAUGUGAAAAUUUACUUGUUUUUCUUACUUACUGCAUGUUUCUUCUUGUUUUCUUGCUUUCGGAUCAUACGUUUUUUCAAAUAUGAAUCUUAACAACGGAAAGGGAUCGAUGUCAACGGCCAGCUCUAGUGCAGCUUGGAAAGCUGGGGACGUUGUUCCCGAUCAGUUUCCGGCAGGGCUAAGGGUCUUGGUUGUUGAUGAUGAUCCAACGUGUCUCAUGAUCUUGGAGAAGAUGCUCAGGACCUGCCUUUAUGAAGUUACAAAAUGCAAUCGAGCUGAGACUGCAUUGUCCUUGCUACGAGAGAAUAAAAAUGGAUAUGAUAUUGUUAUAAGUGAUGUUCACAUGCCAGACAUGGAUGGAUUUAAACUUCUUGAACACAUUGGGCUAGAGAUGGAUCUGCCUGUUAUCAUGAUGUCAGCGGAUGAUGGGAAAAAUGUUGUUAUGAAGGGGGUCACCCAUGGUGCUUGUGAUUACCUUAUUAAACCAGUUCGCAUAGAGGCACUGAAGAACAUAUGGCAGCAUGUGGUUCGGAAGAAAAAGAAUGAGUGGAAGGACUUUGAGCAAUCAGGAAGUGUGGAAGAAGGAGAUAGACAGCAGAAACAAUCAGAGGAUGCAGAUUACUCAUCUUCAGCCAAUGAAGGGAAUUGGAGAAACUCGAAAAAGAGGAAAGACGAGGAAGAAGAAGCAGAGGAAAGGGAUGACACAUCCACAUUAAAGAAGCCAAGAGUGGUUUGGUCAGUUGAACUCCACCAACAGUUUGUUGCAGCCGUUAAUCAACUAGGCAUUGACAGUAUGUAUCCUUACCAUUUUCCUCCAUUUCUUUACUCAUGUUUUUGAAUUUGGCAAUGCUUUUCUGCUGCCUAAUUUGGAUUUGCAUUGUAUACUUGUCGUUGGAUAAACUUAUUUAGAUAGCUUGUGCAUUUUGUGAAUAUGAGGAGAGAUCUUAAGGUGAUAAACUGGUUGUCCAGUGCUAUUUUGAAUGACCAAAUGGAACCUAUUGAUAUUUUUGAAAAUUAUGCUUGAAAUUAGAAUUCAUUUCCAAUAAAAUGAAGGUAAGCUGAACAGAAAAAUAUUGUAAAAUCAUUGGAUUCCUUAUAUACUGCUCGUAUGUUUUUGUAUUGGUCUGUGGAUACAGAGGCUGUUCCUAAGAAGAUUCUAGAGUUGAUGAAUGUUCCUGGGCUCACCAGAGAAAAUGUUGCUAGCCAUCUCCAGGUAUGCUACAUAUGCUUAACAAGGAUAUUCCAAUGUAUGCUAGGUGAAAUUCUUAGGCAAGUAACUUUACUAUUUGAUUUAAACUCAUUAUUUGUUUGUAUCGUAUAGAAAUAUCGUUUGUAUCUCAGAAGAUUGAGUGGGGUUUCACAACACCAGAACAAUUUGACCAACAGUUUUAUUAGUCCCCAAGAUGCAACUUAUGGGCCACUGUCCUCGCUCAAUGGACUUGACCUUCAAACCCUUGCUGCUACUGGUCAGCUUCCAGCACAAAGCCUUGCCACACUUCAAGCAGCUGGGCUUGGUCGAUCAGCAGUAAAAUCUAGAAUGCCCAUGCCCAUUGUUGAUCAAAGGAACCUUUUCAGCUUUGAAAAUCCAAAAUUAAGAUUUGGAGAGGGACAACAACAGUUAAGCAGUAGCAAGCCAAUGAACUUACUUCAUGGAAUCCCAACCACCAUGGAGCCAAAGCAGCUUGCAAAUUUGCACCAUUCAGCACAAUCUCUGGGGAGCAUGAAUAUGCAAGUCAAUGCCCAUGGUGGCCAGGGUGGGCAGGGCGAUUCAUUGCUGAUGCAGAUGAAUCAAUCACAGGCCAGGGGUCAGAUACUAAAUGAAUCCACCGGCAGCCAUGUUCCUACUCUUACAUCAUCCAUGGGACAGCCUGUUCUAUCUAAUACAGUUGUUGGUGGAGUCUUAGCAAGAAAUUGUCUAGCUGAAAAUGGUAGAGGGACCAGAUAUAAUCCAGUUUCACAUUCAUCUUCAAUGUUGAAUUUCCCCUUGAACAGCACAGCAGAAUUAUCAGGUAAUAGUUUUCCUCUGGGAAGUGGUCCAGUGAUAUCCGGGCUCACAUCUAAAGGGACAUUUCAAGAAGAGGUUAAUUCAGAAAUAAAAGGAUCCGUUGGAUUCAUGCCAAGUUAUGAUAUUUUUAGUGAUUUGAAUCAGCACAAAUCACAUGAUUGGGAAUUACAUAAUGUAGGCAUGACCUUUAAUGACUCUCAUCAAAACAACUCUCUGCAAAGCAAUCUUGAUGUUGGGACAUCAGUUUUAUCUCAUCAAGGGUUUUCUUCUACCCAGAGGACCGGACAGAACAGGAAUAUAUCUGCUGUAGGAAAACCCAUGUUUACAGCUGGGGAUACAACUGAUCAUGUGAAUGCGCAGAAUGUUGGACCUAUUAACACUUUUUUCACAGAUAAUUCAGUGAGGGUUAAAUCUGAAUUUGUUCCUGAUGCAAGCUGUGAGACUAACCUCUUCCCUGAGCAGUUUGGCCAGGAAGAUCUCAUGAGUGCACUUCUAAAACAACAGCAGGGAGGUGUAGCACCAGCUGAAAAUGAGUUUGACUUUGAUGGGUAUCCCCUGGAUAAUAUUCCUGUGUAGCAGUUCUCUUAGCUAUGUCAGUUUCUGAUGCACAUACUGCUGUUACAGAUGAUUUGAUUUAUCUCUUCUGCAACCAUAGGGGAGCAGUUCAAGUUAGCAUUUUGCUUGGCAGACAGGAUUGCUUGAUUUCAGUUAGCUGCAUUUCCUGUGUAUAUCAUCAUGUUCAGCUGGUUUAAUUUGGACAUAAAAUUAGACAAAUGGUAAGUGGAGAUGAUAUAUUCAGUCCGAAGGUGCUUUCAAGUCUUGUAAGAUACUACUGCAUGAAGUGCCAAGGCAUACAUGCAAAAUUUUGGCUUGCAUUGGGUUGGAAAAGCUAGUGACAAGCAACUAACUUUAGGAUGCUUGUGGAGGUGAACAUUGGCUCAAGUUGAGACAACUUAGACAUCUGCAGAAUUUCAGGAGCCUUGCUAACUCUAGAAACAGAUCAAGUUUUUUUUUUUUCUUUUUACCUCUGUCUUUAAUUUAUAUUUCUUAUUUAAGGAAUUGACCUUCAUCAAUGUACAUAUUCCAUUUGAUUGCUCUAGACAUAAGUCUGGGUAAUUUUUAUUUCUUUUUUCUAGAUGUUUUCUUGUACUUAAUUUCGAAGAUGUUAUAUUUUUUUUCCAACUGCUCCUUUUAUGCUUUUUUAUAAUGAAACCUUCCUUCCA
rnacentral:misc_RNA from 1 species